rnacentral:rRNA from 1 species
GUCCUACCAACAGAACAAACCCCCCGCGUAAAAUGGCCCCAAGGAUCUUAAAUGAAAAAAAAAAGGAACCCACACCCUAACGUGGCCGGAAACGAAUUUCCAAGGGGGGGUGGUUUCCUUGGUUAAAAACUAAAUGAAUCUCCGCCACCGAAAUUUUGGCUCCCCCCUCCAUGAAAAAAGUAACCAAAUGGCAUACUUGGUGGGAAUUUGCAAAUCCCGUGGACCCUCCAAUUUUUGAACCCCAGUUGCCCCCAAAGCCUUCCGGUCCAAGGCACCUCCGGCUGGGUGGCAUGGAUCCGUGCCCCCUCCCACUUCCUCUGGGGGGAAAAUGGACUAAGGGCCGAAAUUGGUCUCCCGUGGGGUCCCGCUUCUGGUUGGGCCAAAAUCCAGUCCUUUGUGAUAAUGGCACC